rnacentral:lncRNA from 1 species
AAGAAUAGAUUAAACUCUCUCUCUCUCUCUUUUUUUUUCUUCAGUACCUGGGAAUCAAACUCAGAGGUUCAUGCAUGCUAGACAAGCACUCUACCUCUAAACUAUAUCCCCAGUCCUGAAAUAGGUGGAUUUGAAGAAAGAAGUAGAGAAAGUGGGCAAGAAGUAAUGAAAAUUUAUUUCACACCAUGGACCUGCUUGGGAAAUAUUACCCUGAAGUUUCCAUACCUGGGGGGAGAUGAUCCAUUUGACAGCAGCCACUAUGGUAACUUACUAUUUGCUUAUCAGAACUAGUGCUGUUUGAGAUAACAUUGACAAAGGAAUAAAAACAUCUCUUGUUUAUUUACUUCCAUUAGUAGUGAAAAU